CUUAUAUAGAAAAUGUACGUUCAAUGUUAACAUGUUCAUUCCCCAGAAAUUGCUAUAUAACUAUUGCCUAAUAUAUUUUUAUUUCUAUUUCAGUUAUACACAUGCAGCACAUUGAGUUCGUCAAGUUAUUUCACAUUUUAACAAGUGGUGUAUGGUUUAACAAAUGUAACCUCUGAAGACAUUGUUCUCCAUGGAAGAUCAAGACGAUGGCAGCUUCCGCAAGAGAGAUAAUACCAAUGCAGAGUCCCAUUGGAGGAGAUUCAUUAGAAGGAACAACUUAUUCAAAGCUGAUAGACCUUUUUCGUCUUCAUGCGGCCAGGAACUUGAACCUGAUUUAAUAAAUUUCAAAGACAAAUGUGAAUUAAAUAAAAAAAAGGUAUUCGAUAUGAAUAUAUAUACUUGCAUUGCUUAUUAAAGAUCAUUGCAAAAAUUUCUUGAUUGUACAAUCACGAAAUUUGACAGUAUGCAGAAUUAUUGGUAUGAAAAGAAAAAUAUAAUCAAUAUCUUGGAUUUCAAUAUACAUGUUAUGUUUAUUUCAUGCAUAGAAAAUAUGAUAUUUAAUUUUAUUUUAGAUACUGUGAAUCAUUUCCAAAUCCAUGUAAAUUGGAAAGGGUAUUUUUCACAAAAGAAGAUAAAGAAAAAUUCCACGACAUAAAUAACAAGACAAAAAGUGAAAUAGAAACGAUGAUUUUACAAAAUAUAAAAUUGAUUGCCGAGGAAGGUUUUGAAUUGCAAUCUCAUGCUGUAAAUGCUACCUGGGUAAAAGACAUUAAAUCGGGAAAGAAAGCUGCGUAUUUAGACUUUUACAAAGAGUGUUUGCAGGUUUUGGAGGAAAUACAAAGCAUUCAGAACAGUUCUGAUGCUGAGUUUUCGGAAGAGGACGAAGAAUUAACGGUUACAAGCGCCGGGAACCAGAUCAAAAUGGCGGACAAAGUAG